CGGCGGCUUGCUACCUCGAUGUCGGUUCUUUCCAUCCUGGCUGUGCAGCAGCAGCCAAGGGUGAGGUUGUUCGCCUAUUAAAGGGGAUCGUGAGCUGGGUUUAGACCGUCGUGAGACAGGUCGGUUACUAUCUAUAAGGAGUGUCAGAAGUCUGAGGGUAAGACGGAAAUAGUACGAGAGGAACUUUCCGUCGUCGCCACUAGUCGAUCGGUUGUCCGACCGGGCAAUGCCGAGCAGCCACGCGAUAAGGGAUAAAAGCUGAAAGCAUCUAAGCUUGAAACCCGACCUGAAAAGAGCAUCU
rnacentral:rRNA from 1 species